rnacentral:misc_RNA from 1 species
GAUGAAGAACGUAGUGAAAUGCGAUACCUGGUGUGAAUUGCAGAAUCCCGCGAACCAUCGAGUCUUUGAACGCAAGUUGCGCCCGAGGCCACCCGGCCGAGGGCACGCCUGCCUGGGCGUCACGCCAAAACACGCUCCCACCCCCCCUCACCGGGGGAGCGGGACGCGGCGUCUGGCCCCCCGUGCCGCGAGGCGCGGUGGGCCGAAGAUCGGGCUGCCGGCGUACCGUGCCGGGCACAGCGCGUGGUGGAUCUCUACUCGGCGCAGUGCACCCGGCGCGUAGCCGGCGCAGCGGCCCCUAAGGACCCAACGAACGGAGCGCGAGCCGCUCCGACCGCGACCCCAGGUCAGGCGGGACUACCCGCUGAGUUUAAGCAUAUCAAUAAGCGGAGGA